UUGUUCAACCGUCCCAGUGGCCGAGUGGUUAAGGCGAUGCCCUGCUAUUUCCUCAGAAAAGCAAUUAGGCAUUGGGUUUUACCUGCGCAGGUUCGAAUCCUGUCUGUGACG
rnacentral:tRNA from 1 species